AACGUAGGUGGCAAGCGUUAUCCGGAAUUACUGGGUGUAAAGGGAGCGCAGGUGGGAUUUUAAGUCGAAUGUGAAAUGCACGGGCUCAACCCGUGAAUUGCGUUCGAUACUAUAGUUCUUGAGUGGAGUAGAGGCAGGCGGAAUUCCCGGUGUAGCGGUGGAAUGCGUAGAUAUCGGGAGGAAUACCAGUGGCGAAGGCGGCCUGCUGGGCUCUAACUGACACUGAGGCUCGAAAGUGUGGGUAGCAAACAGG
rnacentral:rRNA from 1 species